GACGAACGCUGGCGGCGUGCUUAACACAUGCAAGUCGAACGGAAAGGCCCUGCUUUUGUGGGGUGCUCGAGUGGCGAACGGGUGAGUAACACGUGAGUAACCUGCCCUUGACUUUGGGAUAACUUCAGGAAACUGGGGCUAAUACCGGAUAGGAGCUCCUGUUGCAUGGUGGGGGUUGGAAAGUUUCGGCGGUUGGGGAUGGACUCGCGGCUUAUCAGCUUGUUGGUGGGGUAGUGGCUUACCAAGGCUUUGACGGGUAGCCGGCCUGAGAGGGUGACCGGCCACAUUGGGACUGAGAUACGGCCCAGACUCCUACGGGAGGCAGCAGUGGGGAAUAUUGCACAAUGGGCGGAAGCCUGAUGCAGCAACGCCGCGUGCGGGAUGACGGCCUUCGGGUUGUAAACCGCUUUCGCCUGUGACGAAGCGUGAGUGACGGUAAUGGGUAAAGAAGCACCGGCUAACUACGUGCCAGCAGCCGCGGUGAUACGUAGGGUGCGAGCGUUGUCCGGAUUUAUUGGGCGUAAAGGGCUCGUAGGUGGUUGAUCGCGUCGGAAGUGUAAUCUUGGGGCUUAACCCUGAGCGUGCUUUCGAUACGGGUUGACUUGAGGAAGGUAGGGGAGAAUGGAAUUCCUGGUGGAGCGGUGGAAUGCGCAGAUAUCAGGAGGAACACCAGUGGCGAAGGCGGUUCUCUGGGCCUUUCCUGACGCUGAGGAGCGAAAGCGUGGGGAGCGAACAGGCUUAGAUACCCUGGUAGUCCACGCUGUAAACGGUGGGUACUAGGUGUGGGGUCCAUUCCACGGGUUCCGUGCCGUAGCUAACGCUUUAAGUACCCCGCCUGGGGAGUACGGCCGCAAGGCUAAAACUCAAAGGAAUUGACGGGGCCCCGCACAAGCGGCGGAGCAUGCGGAUUAAUUCGAUGCAACGCGUAGAACCUUACCUGGGUUUGACAUGGAUCGGGAGUGCUCAGAGAUGGGUGUGCCUCUUUUGGGGUCGGUUCACAGGUGGUGCAUGGCUGUCGUCAGCUCGUGUCGUGAGAUGUUGGGUUAAGUCCCGCAACGAGCGCAACCCUUGUUCACUGUUGCCAGCACGUUAUGGUGGGGACUCAGUGGAGACCGCCGGGGUCAACUCGGAGGAAGGUGGGGAUGACGUCAAGUCAUCAUGCCCCUUAUGUCCAGGGCUUCACGCAUGCUACAAUGGCUGGUACAGAGAGUGGCGAGCCUGUGAGGGUGAGCGAAUCUCGGAAAGCCGGUCUCAGUUCGGAUUGGGGUCUGCAACUCGACCUCAUGAAGUCGGAGUCGCUAGUAAUCGCAGAUCAGCAACGCUGCGGUGAAUACGUUCCCGGG
rnacentral:rRNA from 1 species